rnacentral:rRNA from 1 species
AGUAACGCGUAGGUAACCUGCCUUCUUAAGCGGGGGAUAACUAUUGGAAACGAUAGCUAAUACCGCAUAAAAGUCGAUAUCGCAUGAUAUUGAUUUGAAAGGUGCAAAUGCAUCACUAAGAGAUGGACCUGCGUUGUAUUAGCUAGUUGGUGAGGUAACGGCUCACCAAGGCGACGAUACAUAGCCGACCUGAGAGGGUGAUCGGCCACACUGGGACUGAGACACGGCCCAGACUCCUACGGGAGGCAGCAGUAGGGAAUCUUCGGCAAUGGGGGCAACCCUGACCGAGCAACGCCGCGUGAGUGAAGAAGGUUUUCGGAUCGUAAAGCUCUGUUGUAAGAGAAGAACGAGUGUGAGAGUGGAAAGUUCACACUGUGACGGUA